GUGCGGCAUUAUCCACACGUCUUCUAGAUUCCGGUAGCAAGCCUCUAUGGAAUGAAUCAAUAAGUAACCACUUAUCUAGGCCAUGGUGAGGGCAUCCAAGGUCAAUGUUCUUGAAUCUCUCCCAUGCCUCAUGCAAAGUCUCUCCAUCAAAUUGAAUAAACCUCAAGAUAUCAUCUCUCAUACU
rnacentral:sRNA from 1 species